CUUGACAUCCAGAGAACUUGGCAGAGAUGCCUUGGUGCCUUCGGGAACUCUGAGACAGGUGCUGCAUGGCUGUCGUCAGCUCGUGUUGUGAAAUGUUGGGUUAAGUCCCGCAACGAGCGCAACCCCUAUCCUUUGUUGCCAGCGAUUCGGUCGGGAACUCAAAGGAGACUGCCGGUGAUAAACCGGAGGAAGGUGGGGAUGACGUCAAGUUAUCAUGGCCCUUACGAGUAGGGCUACACACGUGCUACAAUGGCGUAUACAAAGAGAAGCGACCUCGCGAGAGCAAGCGGACCUCAUAAAGUACGUCGUAGUCCGGAUUGGAGUCUGCAACUCGACUCCAUGAAGUCGGAAUCGCUAGUAAUCGUAGAUCAGAAUGCUACGGUGAAUACGUUCCCGGGCCUUGUACACACCGCCCGUCACACCAUGGGAGUGGGUUGCAAAAGAAGUAGAUAGCUUAACCUUCGGGAGGGCGUUUACCACUUUGUGAUUCAUGACUGGGGUGAAGUCGUAACAAGGUAAGCGUACGUGU
rnacentral:rRNA from 1 species